GGGCACCAGGAGAGACUGCCUCAUCCAGCCCAAUAUUGCAGAACAUUUUUCACCAAAGAAGCCCAAAGAAACAAGCUGAAUUCCUGCAGCUUUCUCUAGCACGGACCAAAGAGGAGUGUUUUUGCCUGACUGGAAUGUGACCUUGAAUUCUGAUAAUGCUUCUUGCAUGCCUGGAUGGAGGAUAUAGAGAGGGAUGCUUACCUGCUCUUUAAAGAUGUGACAAUACUCUUUUGGUCAAAUGAGACAGGAGAGGGCCUUCGAAGGAGACUUGGAAGUAGUGCUGGUAUUAUAGCCAUGUGCUCUCCCUACCAGAUGCUCACCAACAGUAAAUGUACGGCUGUUUGACACAGGGAUCCAAGGACCCAAGCUCUUCUGCUGCAUUUUCUCCCCAACGCUCAGAGCUCCAAUAUUUCAUUGAUGGGAAGCAGGAGUUUUCUGCUCAGCUGGUUCAUACAUUUUGGGAAGACUUGGUUGAAUGUGAUUGUUUGGUAAGGAUAUGCACCAUCUUCCCCUUCAGAACUUCCUUUGGUUCUUUGGAUAAGAGUCUGCUUCAUCUCAGACUGCUUUGGGCAACAGCUGCUUCACUUUGGAUCCAAGGCAGAGCCUUGCUUUAAAAAUAUGAAGCUUUGGAUAUCUCACGUUAAUCAUAGUGGGGAAGUCAAUGAAUGGCAAUAACUUUUUAUGUUUUAUUACAGUUGGAGGAAAUUUAAACACAUAGUGCACUAUAAAGUGGAUGAAAGAGCUACUGUGCCAAAUUCCAAACAUAUACGUCUAAAAACCUCCAGAAUAAGUUGAGUGCCACUCAUCUAGACAGAUAUACCACCCACUGCAAACACCUCCAUCCUACCUAGAUUGAUCUUCAGUUUGUUAGUCCUCAUCCAGUCUGUUACCAUGACCAAGCUUUCAUUUAGCACUUCCACCGCCUCGCCUAGAUUUGAUGAAACAAAGAAAUAGGGUUUGGUGUCAUCUAUAUACUUUACAUUCCACAAUGACCUCCCUCAACCAUUUCAUUUUUAAUUUCCAUUUCAUAUUAAAGGGGAUAGGACAGAACCUUAGGGGACACUGAAGUGCAAAUGCUACAGGGUUGAAUAGAAGUUUGCUAGCACUGCCUUCUGGAAACAGAUGUCCCAGUAUGAGAAGAACUGCUGAAGAACAUCUAAGGCAGCAUCUUUCCUCUCACCAACCUUAGACAAUCCCUCCUUUUUAUCUAAGCACUAAACAUGGCAUAACUAUUCCUUCCUACAAAAAGGCUACUCUCCCUCCUCCCAUUUUAUCAAAUGGAUGCAGGACAAUUUCAAUACUGGUUCUGACACAACAUCAGUGUAAGCAUUGCAGUAAGAGAAAAUAUUUGGUUACAGUCUUAAUUCUGUGAGAAUUUACUUUCCCUCUCCCUCUGUCUGACACAUGCUUACUCGGUUGAGACUUCCAACUGUUCCCACAGAAUAUCUAACCAAUUUAUUCUUCAACAGGCGAACAAAUGACCAUCUUUGGGUAUACAGAUCAGGCCAGAUUGAAGACGCUGUGCCCUAAAACAACUCACCUAGGGAUAGAUCUCUCUAUUCAUUUCAGAAUUUUGAAAAAAUCCAACCAGAUGGUUUCAAAAUUAUAUCUCUGUUGGCCAAUGUAGACAAGUUUGUUACCUAAGAGAUAGCUUUAUGUACACUAGCAGUAUGUUGUUGACUGAUAAGUAGGGAUGGGUGAAUUUAACAGUUUCUCUCAGGCUCUCAUUUUUCCAGUCUUAAAUUCAGUUCUCUACACUUCCACACCAGUGUGAGAACCAUCAGCAUUUUAGAGUGAAUUUCUCCUAAUAUACACAUCGUUGUAUACAAUUUUUUCUAAUACACACAUUCAGUCGUUCAUGCUCUGGUAACUUCUAGAUUGGACUACUGCAAUGCGCUCUACGUUGGGCUGCCCUUGAAGACAGUUCGGAAACUACAGUUAGUCCAGAAUGCAGCGGCCAGAUUGUUGACGCGGACAAGAAGGUCUGCUCAUAUUACACCCGUUCUGGCUCGUCUGCACUGGCUUCCUAUUUGUUUCCGGGCUAAAUUCAAAGUGCUGGUUUUGACCUAUAAAGCCUUACACGGCAUGGGACCGCAAUACCUGGUGGAGCGCCUCUCCCAAUAUGAAACUACCCGUACACUGCGCUCAACAUCUAAGGCCCUCCUCCGAGUACCAUCCCAUCGAGAAGCUCGGAGGGUGGUGACUAGAAAUAGGGCCUUUUUGGUUGUGGCUCCCGAACUAUGGAAUGGUCUCCCCGAUGAGGUGUGCCUGGCGCCGACGCUGCUAUCUUUUCGGCGCCAGGUGAAAACCUUUUUAUAUUCCCAGGCAUUUUAAUGCGUAUUAUUAUAUGUAUUGUAUUUUGCUACUGUUUGAUUAUUUUUGUUUACCUUUGUUGGUUUGAUUCUAUUGUUUUAUUGUAUUUAUAUAUUCCUGAUUGCUUUAUUCUAUGUACACCGCCCAGAGAGCCCUUGGGCUUAGGGCGGUAUAUAAAUUAAAUUAAAUAAAUAAAAUAAAUAAAAUAAAUUUUUACAAAACAAUUUUAUGCAUUUUAUAUACCAUUUUCACAAAUAUAAGCAUAUUUAUGCACACUAGAUUCUAGUAUAUUCAUUUCUGUACACAUUACUUGGCUGGAAAACCACACUGCAAAAUUUGGAGAAUUUUGAAGGAUGGCUGUGCACAUAUUGUACAAAAACACAUAUUGUUUUGGAAAGUGCAAAUUGGGUAGGUUCACCUUUAAAUGCAAAGUGAAAUGAAUUUCUUCCCCAUUCCCAUUGACAAAGGGAUUUUUUUUAAAAAAAAAUGA